CAGCAGCCGCGGUAAUACGUAGGGUGCGAGCGUUAAUCGGAAUUACUGGGCGUAAAGCGUGCGCAGGCGGUUGUGUAAGACAGGUGUGAAAUCCCCGGGCUUAACCUGGGAACUGCGCUUGUGACUGCACAGCUAGAGUAUGGCAGAGGGGGGUGGAAUUCCACGUGUAGCAGUGAAAUGCGUAGAGACGUGGAGGAACACCGAUGGCGAAGGCAGCCCCCUGGGCCAAUACUGACGCUCAUGCACGAAAGCGUGGGGAGCAAACAGGAUUAGAUACCCCCGUAGUCCCUGUCUCUUAUAC
rnacentral:rRNA from 1 species